UGGGGUCUCUGGGGGCUUUGGGACUGUGUAGGGUGUCUGUAGGAGGGCUGGAGUGCUGUGCAAGGACAGCUCUGGGGUGUGGCUGCUCCCUGGGGAGGUGUUGGGCCCACAGCAGGGUGGGAGCGCGGAGUGGGGCCCGUGGGGUGUAAGGGGUGAGCUCUGUGGUGGGGAGGGGGCUGCAGCAGCCAGAGCAGGGUUUGUUUUUGCUGUGAGUGUCCCAGAACUUUGUGUGUCCCAGGGUUCCCUGCCAGGGCUCAGCCCCAGAUGGUGACACAGGCGGGACUGGGUGCUGCCAUUGCUGAGGUGAGGGAGCAGCAGGUGGCUGGAGCAGGAGGUGAUUCUGCAGGAUAGUGAGAGCUGCUCUUGCAGUUUGGUAAUUCCUGUGUGGUCUUGUUGGGUUAUCACAGAAUCAUAGAAGGGUUUAGGCUGAAAGGGAGAAUAGAGACCCUCUCCUUCCACCCCUGCCAUGGGCAGGGACACCUUCCACUAUCCCAGGUUGCUCCAAGCCCAGUCCAGCCUGGCCUUGAAUACAUCCACAGCUUCUCUGGGCACCCUGUGCCAGGGCCUCCCCACCCUCCCUAAUACCCCAUCCAACCUUUGUCUGUGCCUGUUGAAGCCAUUCCUCCUUAUCCUGGUACUCCCUGCUCUUGUAAAAACUCCCCCUCCAGCUUUCCUGUGGGUUAUAGAAAGCAGCUGUGCCUAAUGGAUGGUGAACAUGAAUAAAAUCUGUUUUUCAAAGCUGA